AAACGUUCUCCUUUCCUUCUUUUCUUCCCUAUUUAGUUUGAACAAAACUGUUUUCCCAGUAGAAAGGAGUUUUAUCUCCCUGUUCCACAUUUCUUCCCUCACAGCUUGUUUGAUCCCUGGCUGCCUUCUCGUCCCUUCAAUGUGUGCAGAAGAUCACCUGCUGAGCUGCACGGCUCAUGCCCAGGAAUCAGGACAGACUCCCGAUGCCUAAAGACGGCCUGUGUGAGGCUGCUCUUGCAUCGCUUUAAAGAAAUACUGGAGGCAUUUAGGUAACUUACAAAGAAAAAAGGUUUAAUUGACUCAUGGUUCUACAGGGUGUACAGGGAGCAUGGUGCCAGCAUCUGCUUCUGAUGAGGCCUCAGGAAGCUUCCAAUCAUGGCAAAACGUGAAGUGGGAGCAGACACAUCACAUGAUGCUGACAUCUUUCGAGAUGAUUGAUUCAUCCCUGACAAGAGAAGACUCUCAGGGGGUUCCAGCUGCCCACCGCUCAGACAAUACCGAUUUGCAGGUGCUGACGCCAAUCCCGCCAGUUUGAUUUGGACGUAGCAGGUGAGCCGAGAGCACUUUAAUAAUGAGAAGCCGGGAAUUUCUAAGCACAUCGCUAUCUC
rnacentral:lncRNA from 1 species